GUGUUUUAUUGCUCUUUGAGGCCCACUAAGAGGCUCAGUGCUGUUUCAUAGUCCAGAGUAGCAGCAGCUCUUUAUUCUUUUUAACACACAGCUGAAAAAUACUCAAGUUCUGUUACAAAAUGGUGUGAUUCCUUUUUUUUUGCCAGUCCGCCCUCAAAACCGCACGUACUCCCCCCACUGUAGGCGGCAAACAGCACUCUCCAUGCAAUUAAAGGGGAGCAGACGUGCACAGGGAAAAACGUCGCCUUCCACAGCACUGUCUGCACAAAGAGGGUCUCCAUUUUGAAAAAGAAACAAAAACAAACCACACUAUGAUAAUGGUUUGCAAAGACAUGACAUCUGAGAAGACAAAAACCUCCGGAGUUGCGAUUCCUUCCCAAAACACCCCUUGUUUUCUCAGGUUGUGUGUUCGGAUGCUGAAAGAAUCAUAGAGGCUGCGGCGAAGCUUCUUAGCCCUGCCCCUUCCUCCCUGGGCCUAAGGCUGCGCGCGGAGCGAAGCAGAAAGGAGUCGCCAUGUUUUCUUUACAUGGAGGGUCUAAAUAAAAAAUGAAGGCAGUAGAGCUUCAGGACGUUGCAAAGGACCAGAAGGAGUGGGUCUCAAGAGCCAAAUUCGGAAAAGAAUAUAUUAUACCCAUCAUAUCAGGAUUUAUGCUUGUCUUUGCUCUGCACGCCCUGCCACGCCAGAGAGGGGACUCCAGAGCUGCGGCCGUAACCAUGGCCACUCCUCAUUCACCACUCUUGGCAAAUUCCUCCUGGUGUAAAAGACAGCGGGAAGGAGAGAUGCAUCAGCAGAUGCACAAACAUGACAACCCUGUGUCUCUCUCAGCAAACCACCAUGUGCCUAAAACCCACUGAAUUUUUAGGUAUUAACUGAUAAUGCUCUUUUAGCAAAAUCACCUCUCAACAUCUGCAGCGUGAAAAACAAAGCAAAUAUAUAAUAAACCUAGAUUAAAAACCA
rnacentral:lncRNA from 1 species